rnacentral:rRNA from 1 species
ACCGCCAGCUAAGGUCCCAAAGUCAUGGUUAAGUGGGAAACGAUGUGGGAAGGCCCAGACAGCCAGGAUGUUGGCUUAGAAGCAGCCAUCAUUUAAAGAAAGCGUAAUAGCUCACUGGUCGAGUCGGCCUGCGCGGAAGAUGUAACGGGGCUAAACCAUGCACCGAAGCUGCGGCAGCGACACUAUGUGUUGUUGGGUAGGGGAGCGUUCUGUAAGCCUGUGAAGGUGUACUGUGAGGUAUGCUGGAGGUAUCAGAAGUGCGAAUGCUGACAUAAGUAACGAUAAAGCGGGUGAAAAGCCCGCUCGCCGGAAGACCAAGGGUUCCUGUCCAACGUUAAUCGGGGCAGGGUGAGUCGACCCCUAAGGCGAGGCCGAAAGGCGUAGUCGAUGGGAAACAGGUUAAUAUUCCUGUACUUGGUGUUACUGCGAAGGGGGGACGGAGAAGGCUAUGUUGGCCGGGCGACGGUUGUCCCGGUUUAAGCGUGUAGGCUGGUUUUCCAGGCAAAUCCGGAAAAUCAAGGCUGAGGCGUGAUGACGAGGCACUACGGUGCUGAAGCAACAAAUGCCCUGCUUCCAGGAAAAGCCUCUAAGCAUCAGGUAACAUCAAAUCGUACCCCAAACCGACACAGGUGGUCAGGUAGAGAAUACCAAGGCGCUUGAGAGAACUCGGGUGAAGGAACUAGGCAAAAUGGUGCCGUAACUUCGGGAGAAGGCACGC